GCGGGGCGGGGCGGCGGGAGGCGCUGUCAGCGCGAGGCGGCGAGCGGAAUGCAGCGGCCCGAGGCCUGGCCACGUCCGCACCCGGGGGAGGGGGCCGCGGCCGCCCAGACCGGGGCCCCAGCACCGCCCGCCCCGGCCGGGGAGCCCGCGGGGUCGCGGUUGCAGGAACCUUCCCUCUACACCAUCAAGGCUGUUUUCAUCCUAGAUAGUGACGGACGCCGCCUGCUGGCCAAGUAUUAUGAUGACACAUUCCCCUCUAUGAAGGAGCAGAUGGCCUUCGAGAAAAAUGUCUUCAAUAAGACCAACCGGACUGACAGUGAGAUUGCGUUUUUCGGGGGCAUGACCAUCGUCUACAAGAGCAGCAUCGACCUCUUCCUGUACGUGGUGGGCUCAUCCCAGGAGAAUGAGCUGAUGCUCAUGUCUGUUCUCACCUGCCUGUUUGAGUCCCUGAACCACGUGUUAAGGAAGAACGUGGAGAAGGGCUGGCUGAUGGAUAACAUGGAUGGAGCCUUCCUGGUGCUGGAUGAGAUUGUGGAUGGCGGCGUGAUUCUGGAGAGCGACCCUCAGCAAGUGAUCCAGAAAGUGAAUUUUAGGGCAGACGACGGAGGCUUGACUGAGCAGAGUGUGGCCCAGGUCUCUCUGCACAGACUAAUCCUGGUUUUAUGGAGCUUCCUGCCCCGGCACUAACUCCCUCCUGCUGUGGUGGCCCAGGCCUAGACGGGUGUGUAGCAUCCGUGCGGAGCCCUGGGUUCUUCAGUCUGCCAAGGAACAAAUUAAAUGGUCAUUACUGAAAUGAAGGCUGUGCAUUCGAGGCUCCCUGCCCCCAGAUAAUUUCCCCAAUCCUGGCAAAAACUCCGAGACCCCAGGGGACAGGAGAGGCCCCUCUGUAUGCCCAGGACCUCCCAGAACCAACUCCCGAGGUCUCGGGGCAGAGACUCUGAAAUGAGAAAAAAAUUGGCUUUGGCACCGAGUCACCACUUCUCACUGCCCUGGCCUGCUCCUUGGGCCUCGAGAACCAGCCGAGUUAAACUCAGUCCUUAGGUAUCCCUGAACCCAGAGCCCUAAUAAACCUGCUCUUGUCUCCUA